AUACGUAGGGUGCAAGCGUUAAUCGGAAUUACUGGGCGUAAAGCGUGCGCAGGCGGUUUUGUAAGGCAGAGGUGAAAUCCCCGGGCUCAACCUGGGAACUGCCUUUGUGACUGCCAGGCUAGAGUACGGCAGAGGGGGAUGGAAUUUCGGGUGUGGGAGUGAAAAGCGUAGAUAUGCGGAGGAACACCGAUGGCGAAGGCAAUCCCCUGGGCCUGUACUGACGCUCAUGCACGAAAGCGUGGGGAGCAAACAGGAUUAGAUACCCUGGUAGUCCACGCCCUAAACGAUGUCAACUGGUUGUUGGGUCUUCAUUGACUCAGUAACGAAGCUAACGCGUGAAGUUGACCGCCUGGGGAGUACGGCCGCAAGGUUGAAACUCAAAUGAAUUGACGGGG
rnacentral:rRNA from 1 species